GUUGAGGAAGAUAAUGACGGUACUCAACAAGGAAGUGACGGCUAACUACGUGCCAGCAGCCGCGGUAAAACGUAGGUCACAAGCGUUGUCCGGAAUUACUGGGUGUAAAGGGAGCGCAGGCGGGAAGACAAGUUGGAAGUGAAAUCCAUGGGCUCAACCCAUGAACUGCUUUCAAAACUGUUUUUCUUGAGUAGUGCAGAGGUAGGCGGAAUUCCCGGUGUAGCGGUGGAAUGCGUAGAUAUCGGGAGGAACACCAGUGGCGAAGGCGGCCUACUGGGCACCAACUGACGCUGAGGCUCGAAAGUGUGGGUAGCAAACAGGAUUAGAUACCCUGGUAGUCCACACUGUAAACGAUGAUUACUAGGUGUUGGAGGAUUGACCCCUUCAGUGCCGCAGUUAACACAAUAAGUAAUCCACCUGGGGAGUACGACCGCAAGGUUGAAACUCAAAGGAAUUGACGGGGGCCCGCACAAGCAGUGGAGUAUGUGGUUUAAUUCGACGCAACGCGAAGAACCUUACCAAGUCUUGACAUCCUGCGACGAUGCUGGAAACAGUAUUUUCCUUCGGGACGCAGAGACAGGUGGUGCAUGGUUGUCGUCAGCUCGUGUCGUGAGAUGUUGGGUUAAGUCCCGCAACGAGCGCAACCCUUAUGGUCAGUUACUACGCAAGAGGACUCUGGCCGGACUGCCGUUGACAAA
rnacentral:rRNA from 1 species